rnacentral:rRNA from 1 species
AUUGAACGCUGGCGGCAGGCUUAACACAUGCAAGUCGAGCGGGGUGAUGGUGCUUGCACUAUCACUUAGCGGCGGACGGGUGAGUAAUGCUUAGGAAUCUGCCUAUUAGUGGGGGACAACAUCUCGAAAGGGAUGCUAAUACCGCAUACGUCCUACGGGAGAAAGCAGGGGAUCACUUGUGACCUUGCGCUAAUAGAUGAGCCAAUGUCGGAUUAGCUAGUUGGUGGGGUAAAGGCCUACCAAGGCGACGAUCUGUAGCGGGUCUGAGAGGAUGAUCCGCCACACUGGGACUGAGAAACGGCCCAGACUCCUACGGGAGGCAGCAGUGGGGAAUAUUGGACAAUGGGGGGAACCCUGAUCCAGCCAUGCCGCGUGUGUGAAGAAGGCCUUAUGGUUGUAAAGCACUUUAAGCGAGGAGGAGGCUCUUUUGGUUAAUACCCAAGAUGAGUGGACGUUACUCGCAGAAUAAGCACCGGCUAACUCUGUGCCAGCCGCCGCGGUAA